AUGCAUACUCGUUGGGUUCCACCAUAUUAUCAACGUGAAUUACUUCAAAAAUUGCAGCGUUUAAGACAAGAAAAAAAUUCUGUAGAGGAAUAUUAUCAGGAAUUACAAACUGGCAUGAUUAGAUGUGGUAUUGUUGAGGAUAAUGAAGCUAUGCUUGCACGUUUUAUGGGUGGAUUAAAUAGAGAGAUUUGGACCAUUCUAGAGUAUAAGGAGUAUAAUAAUAUCACUCGUUUAUUCCAUCUUGCUUGUAAAGCUGAACGUGAAGUGCGGGGUCAACAGGCAUUGACACGAACUAACUAUUCUGCAGGUCGACCUUCCUCAUGGACACCACGUGCAUCCUCUACUUCCACACAUUCUACUGCAUCGGCACCUCCAUCAGCUGCCACCUCCAGCCGUGAUACAAGAAAGCAGGCACAACCACCCCUAUCUACCAAGAGCACACCUGUCGGGCAUGUACAGAGCUCUUCCUCUUCCAUGGCAUCAAUGGGGCACACAAGUGAUAUUAUUUGUCGUCGUUGUAAGGGAAAAGGUCAUUAUGCGAGGGAAUGCAAAUCUCAGCAUGUGAUGCUUGCUACUAAGGAUGGUGGGUAUGAGUCCGCUAGUGACUAUGAUGAGGAGACUUUGGCUCUUAUUACACGUGAAGAACACGGUGGAGAUGAUUCUGAUCAUGAGGCGCAAUACAUGGCUCCUGAAGACGCUGACAAGUAUGAAUGUUUAGUUGCUCAACGUGUUUUGAGUGUGCAGGUCACACAAGCUGAGCAAAAUCAGAGGCAUAAUUUGUUCCAUACAAAGGGAGUUGUGAGCGAACGUUCUGUUCGCGUCAUAGAUGGAGGGAGCUACAGUAACUUGGCUAGCAUGGAGAUGGUGGAGAAGCUAUCUCUCACCACAAGACCACAUUCACAUCCUUACUACAUCCAAUGGUUCAACAACAGCGGCAAGGUUAAGGUAACACGUAUUGUUCGUGUGCAUUUUAGUAUCUCUACAUAUGUUGAUUAUGUUGAUUGUGAUGUGGUACCUAUGCAAGCAUGUUCCUUAUUACUUAGUAGACCAUGGCAAUUGGAUAAAAAUUCUGUACACCAUGGUAGAAACAAUCAGUAUACUCUUGUUCAUAAGGAUAAAAAUAUUACUUUGCUUCAUAUGACUCUUGAUUCCAUUUUGAAAGAUGAUAUUAAUAGAGCUAAUAAAGCAAAAUAG
rnacentral:rRNA from 1 species